UGUAUAUCUGGGACAAACAGAAUAAAAAUAUGACUGAGGCAUAAUGUGCAGGAAAAUGGUGAAAGAGAUGGCAGAUGAAGCUGGAGAAGCAGGUUGAACCAAACUUUAAGCCAAGCUAAUAGAAACGAGGCGAAGAUGGAGCAGGAAACACGACUCAGGCUGCUCUGUGUGUUUACAGAAAAUUUGAUUAUACACUGGGACCAGCUUGUGGGACCACCAUGAUCCAGAGAGACUCCAUAACACUCCUGAAGAUCUCACUUCCUCAGGGGACCUUCCUGACCUGCCCCCAACACCAGACUACCUUUUCAAGUACCACGAAUUCUGCUUCUUGGAUCAUCCCACAUGAAAAGGAAAUUUGGACACACAAAGAGAUACCAGAGAUGUGGGCACACAGAUGAAAGACACAGGGAGAAGAAGGCCAUCUGCAAGCCAAGCGGAGAGGAGAAACCAAACCCUCCAACACCUUGCUCUGGGAUAUCCAGCCUCCAGAGCUGUAAGCAA